UCCAGCUGGAGCCGGGCGUGCGAGCAGCGCCUGCCCGCAGGACGGGCUAAGGAACUCAAAAUGUGAAAGUUGCUCCCUAAAGGAAGUUUGGCAUUAAAGUUUGAAAAAUCAGGCAAGCCAACCCUGCAGCCCUGAGGUCCUGAAGCCCGGCAGGACCCAGCCCAACAUGGCAAGGAAGAUGUUCUGCCCUUGCUGAGCUUUGGAAGGACUGUAAAUAUCAGGCUCUGCAUGAAUCCUGGAUUUCCAUGAAUAGAUGGAAUUGAAAUGGAAAGAUACCAUCCAAAUAGAGCUGCUCCCAGCUCCGUACAGCCCAAGGAUCUUUGAAGGGGACCUAAAGGCUGCUGCAUGCAUCUAAUCAAAAAGGCAUGGGUACUCCUGCAUGAGUCUUUCAUCUGAAUAAAGCACGUAAGGUAAUGCCUCA